UCUCAAUGCUGGGCUUUGACCUUCACUGUGCUCAUUUUCCAGCAGCAGCAACCAGUUUUGUAGUCUUUGUGUGCUUGAAGGAGUCAUGAAAAAUUCAGACAUGAUGUUUCCCCGAGACCAAGCUGGUGGCUGUGGCUUUGUUAGAGCGCCUGUUCUUUGCAUCAUUGAAAAGUUGCACGCUCGGUCCCCUGGUGCCCACGGGGACAACCUGCCCGCCGCAGCAGAUCUGCCGCUGAUCUGCUCCAGGAGCCGGAGCGCUCCCGCUCGUUCCCAGGGAAGACAGCGGAUUACCGCGGGUGGCUUUCACCGAGAUCCGGUCGCACACGGCUCACCG
rnacentral:lncRNA from 1 species